CACAGGCUGCUUCGGGCUGGGCCCAGCACCGACGUGAGCAACAGGCAGCUCAACUUCACUCACCAUCUCCAAGGUGUCCGCUGGGGGUGGCCAACGGGGUUGGGGAGGGAGGCAGAGAGAAGGAGGUCACUAUCACUCACUGUGGCCUCCGUACCUUCUGUGGCAGUUUUCUCUUAUAUCCCCUUCAGGCCUCUGUUCGACCUCCUCCUCUGCUAAAAUGCUACCCCUGAAUUUUCAGCCUGAACUCCCAACCCUGUUUGAGCUACUCCAGCCUCAGAUGUAAAACCCUUUCCAGCUGCCCUUCUGGUGCUGUAGCCUCCUCCCAUGGAGGCUGCCACAGGCCUCUACACACUCGCAGACAUCUGGACUCUUCUCACUGCCUUAGCUCUAGAAUCAGCGUGGGCCGAACGCCUGGGCUGUGCGCUGGACAGCAGGGCUUGGUUAAGGGAGCAAGUAGCAAAGUCUGUACUGGACACCAAGUGGGUGAGCACCUCCACCCUCCUCCCUGAGGCUCCUCACCUGGCCCUGGAGGAGGGGCGCCUCCUGCGAGGAAGUGCAGGGCCAGCUGCUGGAGGGUGCUGUCCAGGCUGGGCCCGGCCGGGCUGUCCUGGGGCGGCUGGAGCACAGCCUCCACUGCCAGCUCCACGCGGUCCACCUCCAGCCCCCAGGCCCUGGUCACGUCGUUGAUCUCCAGCUGGAGGACAGUGUGGGGAGAAAUGGAAUUCAUUCAACAAACCUUUCCUGAGCAACUUUUUUGGGGCAGGCCAUGACGACCACGCGUGGCCACGGAGACACCACGCUCGCCCUUGAGCAGCUCCCAGCCAGGGACAUAGGCAGAGGGCAACCACCACGCAGCUAUGGCACCGACCCCACUCUACCAGGCGCCAGCUCAGUCUGGGCAAGGGGCCCUAAAUGACUUGCACAUCCUGGUGUGAGACUGACUUCCCCAAACUGCCUCUCUCCUACCAAAGCAAUGUGCAACAAGGCCAAGAUCAAUUUUCUCUUCCUAAAGGUGAAUUAAUAUGGGAUGUGGUUUUAUGAUAAACAUUGUUAUCCAUUUGUUA